AACGUAGGACGCAAACGUUAUCCGGAAUUACUGGGCGUAAAGCGCGUGCAGGCGGGUUGGCAAGUCAUGCGUGAAAGCUCCCGGCUAAACUGGGAGAGGACGGAUGAGACUGCCAGCCUAGAGGGUGUCAGAGGAAUGUGGAAUUCCGCGUGUAGUGGUGAAAUGCGUAGAUAUGCGGAGGAACACCAGUGGCGAAGGCGACAUUCUGGGGCACACCUGACGCUGAGGCGCGAAAGCAUGGGUAGCGAACGGG
rnacentral:rRNA from 1 species